UCUUGGGAUUUUUCCUACAGUUACAUUAAUUAUAGUCAGAAUCAGUGCCUUUGGAUGUUUCCUGAGACGGGAAGGGACUUAGAGCUGUCCUGAUGGGAAAAACCUGGGCCUUUCCCCAUAUGGAUUCUCAAUUAUCACAUACAGUGGCUGGAGUAGGGAGACUGGAAACUACCGUUUGAUGUAAGAAUACCCACUGCUUACUGAGCUCCUGCAGCAAGACAGCCGCUGUAGCAGGCACUUUACUGAGAAAUAUGACUUUCGCAUUGAGUCUUUUAUGCUUUGCCUGCCUCACAGUCGUUUUAUUUCAGGAAGGGAGUCCUGAGUGUUUGGAGCAGGAAUGAACAGGCCACUUUCAGGAGGUGUCCUCAUUGCUUCUUGAGAGACGAGGGACACCAAACCCAGAAGGUGUAUACAUCUGACACUGGUGGACACUGGCAAGGACUGAGUACCUAAGAGCAGGACUGUGGAGCUGUGCUCUACACACAGUCAGCACACAGUGGAUUUUAUUUUUUUAAAGUUAAUUUAUUUACAACCCUCCACUCAUGCAGAGGUUACCAUGGCUUUGUCCUCUUAAGUAUGUAGUCUCUUUACAAUGCUAAUGGCCUUGAUUCGAUUAUUACAAAUUACAUACAUGUAUCAAAUUACCACACUGUACCUCAUAAAUAUGUGUAAACACUAUGUCAAUUAAAAUAAAUGAAUAAACAAUGAUACUUU